GAUGAACGCUGGCGGCGUGCCUAAUACAUGCAAGUCGAGCGAACAGACGAGGAGCUUGCUCCUCUGACGUUAGCGGCGGACGGGUGAGUAACACGUGGAUAACCUACCUAUAAGACUGGGAUAACUUCGGGAAACCGGAGCUAAUACCGGAUAAUAUAUUGAACCGCAUGGUUCAAUAGUGAAAGACGGUUUUGCUGUCACUUAUAGAUGGAUCCGCGCCGCAUUAGCUAGUUGGUAAGGUAACGGCUUACCAAGGCGACGAUGCGUAGCCGACCUGAGAGGGGGCUCGGCCCCACUGGAACUGAGACACGGGCCAGACCCCUACGGGGGGCAGCAGUAGGGAAUUUUCCGCAAUGGGCGAAAGCCUGACGGAGCAACGCCGGGUGAGUGAUGAAGGUUUUCGGAUCGUAAAACUUUGUUAUUAGGGAAAAAAAAAUUUGUAAGUAACUAUGCACGUUUUGACGGUACCAAACCAGAAAGCCCCGGCAAACUACGU
rnacentral:rRNA from 1 species